GACGAACGCUGGCGGCGUGCUUAACACAUGCAAGUCGAACGCUGAAGCUUGGUGCUUGCACUGGGUGGAUGAGUGGCGAACGGGUGAGUAAUACGUGAGUAACCUGCCCUUGACUCUGGGAUAAGCCUGGGAGACUGGGUCUAAUACUGGAUACGACAUGUCACCGCAUGGUGGUGUGUGGAAAGGGUUUUACUGGUUUUGGAUGGGCUCACGGCCUAUCAGCUUGUUGGUGGGGUAAUGGCUCACCAAGGCGACGACGGGUAGCCGGCCUGAGAGGGUGACCGGCCACACUGGGACUGAGACACGGCCCAGACUCCUACGGGAGGCAGCAGUGGGGAAUAUUGCACAAUGGGCGGAAGCCUGAUGCAGCGACGCCGCGUGAGGGAUGACGGCCUUCGGGUUGUAAACCUCUUUCAGCACGGAAGAAGCGAAAGUGACGGUACGUGCAGAAGAAGCGCCGGCUAACUACGUG
rnacentral:rRNA from 1 species